AAAUGGGAAUGAUGUUUUGGUUAUUUUGCUAUUUGUUUAUAUACACCACAAAUUAUAUCCUUAUUGCAAUAUUAAUCUCUAAUAUCGCAUAUCGCGAGUUUUCCUCAUAUCGUGCACUUAUCGUUCUCGCACACAUUUUGCUGGCUUUAAAUUGUUUCAACUCCGAAAAAUGUUUUCAUAUAAUGAUUAACAAAGUGUAGAGAGAAAUGAUUCUACAGCAAUUCGUCUCAACCCAUUGUUGUCAACCCCAACACUUAAACACAGCUUUGAAUAAAAAUCAGGUUUCUACUUUCUGUUUGAUGUUUUCUGAAAACAAUUGUAGGGGACAAAACUUGAGACAAGGGAUUUCAUUAUCAACUUAUGAAGUUUUAACAAAAAGAAGAUUUUGAUCUACUUUUAAAGGGUCCAUGUCAGAUGUUGAUUGAUUACAUUUAAAUUGUGUUGAGAUAGUGUCUGUGGUGUCACGUAUUUGCACCAAAAGGUCAGUAAUCAAAGUCAAACGUUCAUUUUCAUUUGUUCAAGGGCAAUCAGAUGGAUUUCCCUUAAGGUUCAGAAGUUUCGUGUCUUCUUUCUUUUUCUGGGAUCUGUACGUUAUGACCUUAGCCUAAGGCAUUAAACAUGAGCUUUUGAGUUUAAAGUUUUCUGCAGUUUGCAGACAUCCUGUAAAUGGUAUGCAACAACUUUUAUACAUUAAGAUGCCUGCGAAACAAAUCACAACAUAAACAUUACAGAAUAUUAUGACUCGGAAUUUCCAUAGCUAGUCAAUAAAUCCUAUGGAUACAUUAAACCUGAUUGUGUUUCUUUUUUCUUGCAUCUCAUACUUAAUGAUCCCACAGAACAUUGGAUAUUAUGUUGAUGGUUAACUCAUGUCUUAGAAACAGUUUGCAACAGCAACAAAAAAACUUUUGCAACCUGGCAGCAAAGUUCCCUCUGUUUCAAGUUUUGGUUAAAAAAAAAAUUGUACCAGGUAUUUCCAUGAAAGAGAACGUGAAAAAUACUUGAUAACACUUUGUCCUGCAGGGAAACCUUUAUUUCCCACAUUCUUGUGGAUUUUACACCAGCAAACCAAAUCCCCCCCCCCCCCUUCCCCCCCCGCAAAGCAGCCUCAUUUUGCAGGUUAUUAAGACAGAACAUGGCUGAGACCAUGUUGACUUUCAAACAUCCCAUAUGGCUGUUCGAUUUGAGUAUCUACGAGUAUGCCUAACCCAGUGAUAAGCUGCCAACACCCACCAACCCUUGCACAAAAUACUGAAGAACACCCCUGAAGUACAGCUGCUAUGCCCUUAAGAGAUAAACUUGUUCCAUCACAAUAUAGGCAAAAAGUAACAUUUUGAUUAUAAGCUUAAGGUAACUUCGAAAAAGGUGGAAAAAGUCACAAUAGUCACUCAUGGUUAUCAAAAUCUAUCUACUUCUCAAAACUGGGUACCCAGAAUUCCAUGCAACAAAUUAAGAUUAAACUGACAAUAACACCUCCAUUCACCUUUAACCCUGAGCACUAAUCUUCCCACUACUUCUAGCUCAAAAUAUAACCAUUGCAGAAACACUGUUUGUAUGGGAUUGGUGGACUUCCUUCCUAAAGGAAACCCAACAGCACAAUUAGACAGAAGUUGCAGUGAAAAACAUACAGGAACGUCUCCUGUUCUGUCAAGCUGAAUUAAGACAAUGAAGCAGAUGGACUAAAAACUGAAAUAGGGGUAAGUCAGUACAACAUGUUAAAGCAAAAAUCAAAACUCUCAAGUUAAUGAGGGAUGGAGUGUAACUCUUUCUCCACAGAUUAGAACCAUUCUCAGGUUUAUCCUUUAAUAUUUGUGUAGGCACAUUUUGUGGCAAUCCCUCUUUGCUCCAGAGACUUGUGGCAGUGUUUUCAUCAUUUCAGUGUAUUACAUAACCGCAGCAGAUACAACAAACUUUGUCCAAAAACAAUUAAGAGGCUAUUACAGCCAUAACACAUAAUGAAGCAUUCCAAAUCUGUUUUUUAGGGUUGCUCACUGCACAGCGAACAACCUUUGGAGGGGAUUUAAGGCUUUGCUGAGAUGCAAGUGCAUUUUCGAUUGAAACAAACUUUGUAUUUGCAAAUAUAGCAGCAGAAAUCCAACCUAUUGAACUUUGAGCGGUGGCCUCCUUUCACUGGCAGAGACUCAAUCAUAACAUCUUAUCUACGGACAUGCUGAUUCAUGGAAUUCAGCCGUGGCCAAUAGCCAGGCAGUGGGGUUACUUAUGACAGUCAUUGAUUGGUUGAUCCCUGAGCACAGAGCUAAAAGGGCACAUACCAGGAACACAGCCUGAAGCAGAAACUGGCAGCAGUUUGCUCACGCUUUGCUUCACUCUCAGUCUUCUUGCUGCUGUUUUCCCACUGACAAUCGACUUUAAUCUGUCUCCUCUGCCCCCCCCCCAAAAUCUCAGAUUCUGUUCUCUUUCCACCAACAUUGAAGUACCACAGCCUGUAGUCCUCACUCUUCCGUUGUGUCAUUGUGUAUUGAAAAGCACCCAAGCCAUGACGUCCAAAGGUUACCAUGCCUCUCUGACUUACAUCCUGGUCCUUCAUCUCCAUGGUCACUCAAAUUCCAGCAUUUCAAUCCAUUUUUUGCCUGGAAAUAUGAAGUUCACUGUUGCAGUCCCUCAGCAGAGUUACUAAGCCAAUAUUUCAGACAUUAAUCAUAUCCAAAGCACUCAAUUUUCAGUAGAAUGACCAAUUAAUAAUGUAUUUGUAUUGAAAAAGCAAUACCAUUAUAAACGAAGUUGGAGUUAAAGAGGGAAGGCAAUCUAUGCCUCUUACUGGCUAAAUUCAGAACUACUUUCAAAUCUUAAAGAGAGACAAUUUGUUAGCCAAAUACAAAAAGAAUAGAAAAAAGGCCAGUGUUUCAUCCAAACCGUUUUCUGUCUUGAACAUAUCCUGGGUACAAAUAUUGAUGUUGAUUUAGGGUCUGUUCACUCAUACAUAAAAUUGGUGGUCCAGCAUUCAGGGUUGUGCUGGCUCCAACAGAGGAGAGACACUACAGAGGCCUUUAUGUCAGCCUAUCCCCAUCUGUAGUUCUAUAAUGAGCAAGGGAGAAGACCCACUGUGGGAGUGAAGAGGACCUCAGUUCUGCUGAAGCAGACAAACGUUCUGAUGGAAAUUCAGAUACAAUCAUCCCAGAAUGCACUUUCACUGCCUAAUAAUCAGCCACUAGAACAAGGCGGCCAUUGAGAGGAGAGCGACAGUAAUCCGGUCCACCAAACUCCAAAGCUACCCGCUAUAAUUAGCCCCUUUCUCAAUCAAAUACUGACUAACAAGCAAAAUUCUGAAGAAACACACGACAGAGGAAAUUUAGUGACCAGCAUAAAUUAACAAAAGGAAAGGUUUGACAUCCUUUUUAUAGACAUGGCCAUCACAAUGGCAGUCAAUUGAAAUUUAAAAAGCAGGUGAAAGUUUUCAUUUAAAUGAAGUGGCUUGUGAAAGUAAAAUCUCACACUUUUAAUCUUUGUCUCCUCAUGGGGACGCAGAUUUGAAGAUGGAUCCGAAAGUUCAGUGAUCCUUAUUUUGCAAAUGACAUUAGGCUACCCCCAUAUCUUGUGUUUUACUGAAUUUCUUCUCCAACAUGAUGCAAGAGAUCCAAGCCCAUUUGUAGCCGGCGUCCUAGUGAGUAAAGACAAACUCCCCUAAUCUGAUGAGCAUGUACAAACUCAAGGCUUCACAAUCCAAUCAGCAACCCUGAGGCAAGCCAGAGUUCAAGGAAAGAAGACCAGCUAGCAUGUUGCCUGAGCAAAUGGAAGAAAAUGAGGCUUCCUGGAGAGGUGUGACUGCCUUGCAAAGGGCCCAAUCAAGCACAGCGCAGAAGUGCUGACAGCUGUUCAUAUAUUCACCUGAGUGCACCAAGACGGUCUUCACAGGAAGGUUUAGAGAUAUGUUCACUUCCUUCCAAGUAUCGUACCCUUAAAUAAAGUUAUCACUAUGCAUAGAAGCUUCCCGAAAGUGUUCAGCCAAAACACGACCAACAAAUCCACAGCACCAAUACAUGUGUGGAUAUCAUCCAAUGACAAAGUUCCUGUUUGGGGGAAUUUUCCCUACUAUCUAGCAGUGACCAGUAACUGUAAAUAAUGAGCCAAUGACACAGCAUUAGCAGUAAAGCACAUUCCUGCCUUUACUGCCGUGUGAUAAGGCGUUAUCCUCGUCAACACGGUCACCCCCCUAGAACUCAUUCAGACAAUAUUAAAGCAGUAUGUUAGUUAUCUUUAAGGAGCGUUUCUAGAGGAGAGCACUGGAAGGACACCGACAGAAAGGGAGUGGCUGCAAGAAAAAUGCCCUAUUCACAUAACCUUGAGUCAAAGCAGUUCCAUCAUCAAUAUAUAUACUUAUAUAUAUAGAAGUAUAGAGUUAUGUUGCUGGAUUAUUAGAGGAGCCAAUUGGUGGCGUUAAUUCUGAGUCACAGGGAUGCACUCUGCUGAGAUCAAAAAUAUUUUUCACGGAAAAGGAGUUUAUGCAAUGGCCUCUGCCUUAUGAAAGCCUGGAUUGGUGAGAAGCACAAGUAAAACAUAAAAAUGAAAGCAAACAAAAAAAGGUCAUUAACAUAAGGGGAACACCAACUGACAAGCAAAACAUACUGGUAAUCCAGGUUUUUCACACAGCAAUCAGGGAGAAAAUGCACAGUCCAUCUUUGGUCAAACCCCAACAUGUUAUUGCUUCAACAGUUUGAGUGGUUGUCCCACCCCCUCACCCCACUUUUUUUUUUUAAAGUAUGACAUGGUGUGGAGUUUCCCCAGGCCUGACAAGACCAAUGCAUUCCAGGUGUUUGUUGUAUAAACAAUUUAAUGUUUGGAUAGAACCAGGUUUUUUUUAGCUUUAUUCUCUAAAUUUAACAUUUAACAAGCUCAUGGUUACCCUGACUUGCCCUACAAACUGCUUUAUUAAGUAUACACCCCGAGCAUCAUCUUAAGUAUUAUAAUUAUGAUCAUUUUGAGGUACUUGGGGGCCAUAAAAUCAUGUCUGCCCUCAAGCGAAAUGAGGUCGACUCCCAGUUUCUCGAUUUUGCCUGGACUUUGGCGCAACUGGAGCAGCAGCAUCUCCACUCCUGCUCACAGAAAGACUCUCGCCCAGUGGUUCGUGGACACAACUACAACAAGCACGCUGUUGGUACUGGCGAUGCCUGACAGUACACAACAACACACCAUGGAGCAACAUUGAUUUUUCAAUAAAAACAUGGCACAAAAAGUGA